UGUAAUGUAGUUCAGUUCGUUAGAGCGCUGCCCCGAAAUGGCAGGGUCGCAUGCAGGUUCGAUUUCUGCGUAUAG